UACGGGGGGUGCGAGCGUUGUCCGGAAUCACUGGGCGUAAAGGGCGCGUAGGUGGCAUGAUAAGGGUGUGGUGAAAGCCCGGGGCUUAACUCCGGGUCUGCGGUGGAUACGGGCAGACUAGAGGCAGGUAGGGGAGACUGGAAUUCCUGGUGUAGCGGUGAAAUGCGUAGAGAUCCGGAAGAACACCAGUGGCGAAGGCGGUCUGCUGGGCGGUGGGACCGAAAGGUCUCUUCAACCGACACUGAGGCGCGACAGCGUGGGGAGCAAACAGG
rnacentral:rRNA from 1 species